UAGAGUUUGAUCAUGGCUCAGAUUGAACGCUGGCGGCAUGCCUUACACAUGCAAGUCGAACGGUAACAGGUCUUCGGACGCUGACGAGUGGCGAACGGGUGAGUAAUGCAUCGGAACGUGCCCAGUCGUGGGGGAUAACUGCUCGAAAGAGCAGCUAAUACCGCAUACGACCUGAGGGUGAAAGCGGGGGACCGUAAGGCCUCGCGCGAUUGGAGCGGCCGAUGUCAGAUUAGCUAGUUGGUGGGGUAAAGGCCUACCAAGGCAACGAUCUGUAGUUGGUCUGAGAGGACGACCAGCCACACUGGGACUGAGACACGGCCCAGACUCCUACGGGAGGCAGCAGUGGGGAAUUUUGGACAAUGGGGGCAACCCYGRUYCMRSGRMSSCSSSKKGUGKGAAGAAGGCCUGCGGGUUGUAAAGCACUUUUAGUGGGGAUGAAAAGUUCAGGGCUAAUACCUCUGGAUCUUGACCUAACCCACAGAAAAAGCACCGGCUAACUCUGUGCCAGCCGCCGCGGUAAUAC
rnacentral:rRNA from 1 species